UAAGCAUAUCAAUAAGCGGAGGAAAAGAAACUAACAAGGAUUCCCCUAGUAACUGCGAGUGAAGCGGGAAAAGCUCAAAUUUAAAAUCUGGCAGAUGUUUGUCUGUCCGAGUUGUAACCUAGAGAAGUGUAACCUGUGCUGGACCGUGUACAAGUCUCCUGGAAUGGAGCAUCAUAGAGGGUGAGAAUCCCGUCUUUGACAUGGACUACCAGUGCACUGUGGUUGCGCACUCAACGAGUCGAGUUGUUUGGGAAUGCAGCUCUAAAUGGGUGGUAAAUUCCAUCUAAAGCUAAAUAUUGGCGAGAGACCGAUAGCGAACAAGUACCGUGAGGGAAAGAUGAAAAGAACUUUGGAAAGAGAGUUAAACAGUAUGUGAAAUUGUUGAAAGGGAAACACUUGAAGUCAGCUGCAUUGGCUGGGGAUCAAGCCAGCUUAUUUGCUGGGUGUACUUCCUGGUUGAUGGGCCAACAUCAGUUUUGACCAUCAGAGAAAGGCUAAGGGAAUGUGGCACCUUUAUAGGUGUGUUAUAGCCCUUGGUUGUAUGUGGUGGAUGGGACUGAGGAUAGCAGCGUGCCGCAAGGCCGGGUUUCGACCACGUUCACGCUUUGGAUGUUGGCAUAAUGGCUUUAAGUGACCCGU
rnacentral:rRNA from 1 species